rnacentral:rRNA from 1 species
GGGCGGAAGCCUGAUCCAGCUAUGCCGCGUGCAGGAAGAAGGCCUUCGGGUUGUAAACUGCUUUAGACAGGGAAGAAAUCUUCUGGGUUAAUACCUCGGGAGGAUGACGGUACCUGAAGAAUAAGCACCGGCUAACUACGUGCCAGCAGCCGCGGUAAUACGUAGGGUGCGAGCGUUAAUCGGAAUUACUGGGCGUAAAGCGUGCGCAGGCGGCUUUGCAAGACAGAGGUGAAAUCCCCGGGCUCAACCUGGGAACUGCCUUUGUGACUGCAAGGCUAGAGUACGGCAGAGGGGGAUGGAAUUCCGCGUGUAGCAGUGAAAUGCGUAGAUAUGCGGAGGAACACCAAUGGCGAAGGCAAUCCCCUGGGCCUGUACUGACGCUCAUGCACGAAAGCGUGGGGAGCAAACAGGAUUAGAUACCCUGGUAGUCCACGCCCUAAACGAUGUCAACUGGUUGUUGGACGGCUUGCUGUUCAGUAACGAAGCUAACGCGUGAAGUUGACCGCCUGGGGAGUACGGCCGCAAGGUUGAAACUCAAAGGAUUUGACGGGG